AACGAACGCUGGCGGCAUGCCUAACACAUGCAAGUCGAACGAGACGUUCGGGUCUAGGGGCGCACGGGUGCGUAACGCGGGGGAACCUGCCCUUAGGUUCGGAAUAACUCCCCGAAGGGGGUGCUAAUACCGGAGAAUGUCUUCGGACCAAAGAUUUAUGGCCUUUGGAUGGGCCCGCGUUGGAUUAGCUAGUUGGUAGGGUAAAAGCCUACCAAGGCGACGAUCCAUAGCUGGUCUGAGGAUGAUCAGCCACACUGGGACUGAGACACGGCCCAGACUCCUACGGGAGGCAGCAGUGGGGAAUAUUGGACAAUGGGCGCAAGCCUGAUAAAGCAAUGCCGCGUGAGUGAUGAAGGCCUUAGGGUUGUAAAGCUCUUUUACCCGGGAUGAUAAUGACAGUACCGGGAGAAUAAGCUCCGGCUAACUCCGUG
rnacentral:rRNA from 1 species